UCCUCGAUAGCUCAAUCGGUAGAGCAACCGGCUGUUAACCGGUAGGUUGUAGGUUCGAGUCCUACUCGAGGAGCCA
rnacentral:tRNA from 2 species